GUUUGAAAGAAAUAUCUUCAUUAUUUGUCAAGAAAUAUUACUAUUUGUGUUGUAAGCCCGAUCUGGCAAUGUUACCAGCCUGUCGAUAAGCCUGUGGUAUUGAAUCAUUUGAAUGAUCUAGAGUUUGUUGAACAAACCACAGUAAGAGGUAGACAAUGUGAAAGACUCCUCCAUCCAAUAUGAUGGUGUCACCCCUGUGUGACCUCGGAGAUGUCGGAACAAUCAUUGGUGGAAAAGCUAUUGACACUAAGUGUGUUUCAACAGCUGUUAUUCCAUUACACUAUCAAACAAUCUGGAGGUAUGUGCCUUUAAAGGACUGAGAUAUGCUGAAAACAGUCUAUUCAAUUAAAUGAUUGUAUCAGUA